rnacentral:rRNA from 1 species
UACAGAGGUCUCAAGCGUUGUUCGGAUUCAUUGGGCGUAAAGGGUGCGUAGGCGGCGUGGUAAGUCGGGUGUGAAAUCUCGGAGCUUAACUCCGAAACUGCAUUCGAUACUGCCGUGCUUGAGGACUGGAGAGGAGACUGGAAUUCAUGGUGUAGCAGUGAAAUGCGUAGAUAUCAUGAGGAAGACCAGUGGCGAAGGCGGAUCUCUGGGCCGAAACUGACGCUGAGGCGCGACAGCGUGGGGAGCAAACAGG